GUGAGCAUCACCGUGACCAUCGCGCUCCUGCUGGAGGUCCACGCUGACGUCCUGCCGCAGAAGAACUUUGACCUGAAGAGGGUGAGAGGAACUUCAUGGAGUUUUGUGGAGGAGAAAGUUCUCCUGGUGUGUUUGAGGUGGAGAUACAGAUCUUCGGUCAGGUCUGCUUCUCAUUAAUCUGCUCCGGCCAAAAUCUAACGAAUAUUCAAAAGCUCAGAUUUAAAUAUUACGAUUCCUGUUUUAAUAUUUGUUUAUUUAUAUUUAUAAAAGUUUCUGUAAUGUGUAGAUGUAAAGAAACAGAUCCGGUGGUUGUGCUGCUCUGCUCAACUCACAGCUUAUUAAUAUUCAUAAGAUCAACAUUACUAUUAUUAACAUUAUUGUUGAUCAAAUUUAUAUUUCGUGGAUUAAGAAGUUUCUCAAAUCAUGUCACUUUGAACCAUUUUAAAAUCUAUAGAAUAAAUUGUUGAAAGAAAAACAAAUUAAACAUCUCUACACUUUUAUUCUCAUUAAACUAUCAGGAGUGUAUGAAUAUGCAAAUUAGAACAGCCCCAUGUUCUAUUUAUUGAUCAACACACUGGGCAGUCUGUCAAUUUGCAUAUUAGAUGUAAUUGGAGGAAAGCAAGUGACUGUUUAGUGACAUCACAAACUGGGCUCAUACAUAGCCCCGCCCACAAAUGUAUUUUACCUGGUGGAAAGGACUGUCUUCGUCUCUCCUGUCCAAAGAAAAGGGGGAAAAAAAAAGAUAAAUAAAAAAAAAGACGAGAAGAAAUCAAUAAAGAAAGAGAAAAAUGGAAGAAACGCAAAAAAAUAAAAAAUUGAAAGAAAGAACAGAGACGACAAAAAAGGUUUUUUUAAAAAAGGGAAAACUAGUGUAUUACAAAAAAUCUCAUCAUUGACACGAUAUUAACAUUAAAUUUAAAACAGUUUAAUAAAACUUAUUUACAUCCACACAAAUAAUUUAUUAAAACAGAAAAGGAGAAAAAAAAACAAGUCCACAGUUUAUACUUUAUACCAGUUUUACACCAGUUAUUAUCUGUAACUCAUUUUCAUUUUUUUUUUUUUUAAAAACAAAAGAAAAGCGAACGCAAAAAGAAGGCAAGGAAGUAAAGAGAAAAAAAAACAAAUGAAAAAAGAAAGACAAACAAAAGGGGAAGAAGGUAAAGAAAGAAAUAAAAAGAGGAAAAAGAAAUAAAGAGAGAAAGAAAGAGGAAAAAAUAAAAAACAAAUGAGAAAGAAACUUGAAAAAAGAAAAAUAGGAAGAACAAAAGAAAGACAGAGAGGAAAAAGGUAUAAAAGAAAGAAAAAGAAUGAAACCAGUGUUAGAACAAGAUCAUAUCAUCCUGACACGAUAAGAGUUUCAUUAAAACUGCGUUUAUUUUUUCUCUUUCGGUUUUAAGUAAAUUAGUUUUGUAAAUGUAAAUAAAAAGACGUUUACAGUUGAUACUCUACAGCUUCCAGUUAGAACGUGUAGCGGUCAUUUAAAAAACAUGUUUUUAAAUAAAAUAGCACGACACCUGCAAAAUGUAUUUUUGAUCUAAUUUAUCACGAUAUCGAUAUUACACGCUCAUAUCGCUCAGCUCUGAUCCUGACAUGGAAACUUUAUCCUGACUUUAAAGUGGCGUUGUGCGUUUUCCACGUGCGCCGUGUGUUCAGUUCGCAGGUCGCUGGUACCGCGUGGGUCUGGCGUAUAACUCGCCCGGCUUCGCCCGGCACAGAAACAAGCUGACCAUCUGUAUGGGCGUGGUGGAACCGAAGGAGAACGGAGACGUCAUGAUGACCGUGUGGAAAACGAAGUCCUCCAUCUGCCAGAAAGAAGUCUACAGAUAUGAGAAGACGGCCGUACCUGGCGUGUUCACGUACUUCAGCACACGUUAGUGAUCUUUCAGCAGUCCCAGAAUCGAGCCCUGUCACAGACGUGUGUUAUAUAGCGUUGUACGAGCUACCGGAUGUGUAAACAAAACCUGAUUAAAAUCAGAAAAUCGGUCCAACGGUAUGAUCCCAGACACGGUAUCGUGGGGCAAAAGGUUUGGGGAGAGAAUUAAUUUAGUACUGAUUCUCAGGAAAAAAUAAAGACAGUGAAGAAAUGUUCGAAAUUGGAUCAGUAGUGAAAUGAAUUGUAUUGAAUCGUAUCAGAGAUGAACCGAAUCGUAUCAGUAGUGAAUAAAAGUACACUGAAUCAUAUCAGUGCUGAAUCGAACUGCA
ensembl:lncRNA